rnacentral:rRNA from 1 species
UACAGAGGUCCCGAGCGUUGUUCGGAUUCACUGGGCGUAAAGGGUGCGUAGGUGGUGAGGUAAGUCGGAUGUGAAAUCUCCGGGCUUAACCCGGAAACUGCAUUGGAAACUACCUUGCUGGAGGGUUUGAGGGGGACUGGAAUUCUCGGUGUAGCAGUGAAAUGCGUUGAGAUCGGAAGGAACGCCCGCGGCGAAAGCGCGGUCCUGGACGCCUACUGACGCUGAGGCGCGAAAGCCAGGGGAGCG